UACGGAGAGGGCUAGCGUUAUUCGGAAUCAUUGGGCGUAAAGGGCGCGUAGGCGGGUUAGUAAGUUAAAAGUGAAAUCCCAAGGCUCAACCUUGGAACUGCUUUUAAAACUGCUAGUCUAGAGAUUGAAAGAGGAUAGAGGAAUUCCUAGUGUAGAGGUGAAAUUCGUAAAUAUUAGGAGGAACACCAGUGGCGAAGGCGUCUAUCUGGUUCAAAUCUGACGCUGAGGCGCGAAAGGCGUGGGGGAGCAAACAGG
rnacentral:rRNA from 1 species